rnacentral:rRNA from 1 species
AAACAUGUCUAUUUGAAGAUAUAAAUAGUCUGGUCUGCUCACUGACAAAUAUAAUUGUUUAAGAGCCGCGGUAUUUUGACCGUGCAAAGGUAGCAUAAUCAUUAGUUUCUUAAUUGGAAACUCGUAUGAAGGAUCGGACAAAGGAAAGACUGUCUCUAUAGUAGAAAUUGAAAUUAACUUUUAAGUGAAAAGGCUUAAAUAAUUCAGGGGGACGAUAAGACCCUAUAAAGCUUUAUGUGUAAAUUAAGUUUAAUUAAAUUAAAAAAUUAAAAAUUUUAUUUGAUUAUCAUAUUUUAUUGGGGCGAUAUAAGUAUAAUUUUUAUUAACUACUUAAAUUUUAUACAAAGAUAUAUGAGUAAUUUUAUAAUUGAUCCUUUAUAAAGAUUAAAAGACUAAGUUACUUUAGGGAUAACAGCGUAAUUUCUUUUGAGAGUUCAUAUCGAAAGAGAAGUUUGCGACCUCGAUGUUGAAUUAAAAUGUCUAUAUAAUGCAGACGUUAUAUUAGAAGGUCUGUUCGACCUUUAAAAUUUUACGUGA